rnacentral:tRNA from 1 species
AGGCCUAUAGUUCAAUGGUUAGAACGUACUGCUCAUAACGGUUUAGUUGGAGGUUCAAGUCCUCCUAGGCCUA